GUAACAAGUUUUGUGAUGUAUAUAACUUAUUCUAAGUCCCCAUUUAUGAUUUUGGGAAAAUGUAAUAAGAUCAUUAUAUUUCUUUCCAUUCAUUUGUAAUUCAGCAAAUACAAAAACCUCUCUGUGAUUUACUUUCUAAUGGAAGAAAUACACAAAGUCAGAUGUGAUAAAUGCUAGUGGAAAAGAGCAUGAGGAAGGGAGUCUCAGGUUCCUGUUGAGACUUUUCCUCAUAAAGCACACGCUGAUAUGUAUACUCGCAGUGCAUAAGCUAACACUCAUUAGAGAGAAAACCAGAGUAGAAGGGGCACAAUCUCUAAAUAUAGAAACAUUUGGUAUAUGCAGGAAGCACAAAGUCAGUUAUAGCCAAAGAAAAGUGAUGAAUAAGAUUGUGGUUGGACACAAAAGGUAAAGGUAGCCAGGUCAGGAAUUGAAGAGUUUCUGUUAACCAAGAUGAAACGUUUUCCAAAGGUUUUUAACAGAGACCGGCUGUUAUCCUCUCUGUUGGGCUUGCUUGCUUGCUAGCAAUGCUGAAACUUGAAUCUAGAUCUUUGCACAUGGCUAAGCAAACACCACUGAGCUGUAUUUCUAACCUUAAGUUGUUUUGGUUUGGUUAGGUUUUUGUUUUUACAUUGAUUGGUUAGUUGGUUGGUUGAUUGAUUUUGUGUGUGUGAAGGUUGGGUAUAGGCUGUGGCCUAAAAUACACUAGUGUUUGCCGUGGUGUACAUGUGGAGAUCAGAGAACAAUGCGCAAGGAGUUGAUUGUUUCCUUCCUACCAUGUGAAUCUUGGUAGCAGGCACCUUUACCCAUAUGAACCAUCUCCGCAACUACCUGACAUUAAGUUUUAAAGCAGUUGCUCUAGCUGCUGUUGAAUUAACUGUAAAGAUGAAAGCAGUUGGACUAGUUAUAGUGUAGUAGUUAUCCCCC
rnacentral:lncRNA from 1 species